GGCCUUGUGGUGUAGUGGUAACACAUCCUCAAUUGAUUGCUCCAAAAAUUGAUCAAAUGUGAGGAAGUCCCUUGUUCGAAUCAAGGUGAGGCCA